CCUACGGGAGGCAGCAGUAGGGAAUAUUGGUCAAUGGGCGAAAGCCUGAACCAGCAACGCCGCGUGCGCGAUGAAGGCCUUCGGGUCGUAAAGCGCUUUUGGGAGGGAUGAAAAUGACAGUACCUCCCGAAUAAGGAUCGGCUAACUACGUGCCAGCAGCCGCGGUAAGACGUAGGAUCCAAGCGUUAUCCGGAAUUACUGGGCGUAAAGGGCGUGUAGGAGGUUGGGCAAGUCGGCCAUGAAAGCUCCCGGCUCAACUGGGAGAGGCUGGUCGAUACUGCCUGGCUAGAGGGCAAGAGAGGGAGGUGGAAUUCCCGGUGUAGUGGUGAAAUGCGUAGAUAUCGGGAGGAACACCAGUGGCGAAGGCGGCCUCCUGGCUUGUACCUGACUCUGAAACGCGAAAGCAUGGGUAGCAAACAGGAUUAGAAACCCUGGUAGUCCAUGCCAUAAACGAUGUCAACUGGGUGUCGGCGAAGUAAAAUUUGUCGGUGCCGAAGCUAACGCGUUAAGUUGACCGCCUGAGGACUACGAUCGCAAGAUUAAAACUUAAAUGAAUUGACGG
rnacentral:rRNA from 1 species